UACACUGUGGGUGAUACUUCUGGCUGGACUUUCAGCAUCCAAAGCUGGACAAAAGGGAAAAAGUUCAAGGCUGGUGACAUACUACUUUUCAAAUAUGAUCCUUCGUUGCAUAAUGUAGCAAUUGUAGAUAUUAGUGGCUACAACAGCUGCAAUGCUCCUCCAAGCUCAGUCAUUUACUCCAGUGGAAAAGAUAGCAUCAAACUAAAGAAGGGGAAAAAUUACUCUACAUCUGCAGCAUUCCUGGUCACUGUGAUGGGGGCUUGAAGAUUGCCAUUAGUGCUUCCUGAAUAGAAAAUUUUAGAUAUUAUAAAUAUUGAUUAUAUUUAUAUGGGCUCUUGAUCAAUCUCUCUGUGUGUGUGUGAAACUU
rnacentral:misc_RNA from 1 species